rnacentral:rRNA from 1 species
UACGGAGGAUGCGAGCGUUAUCCGGAUUUAUUGGGUUUAAAGGGUGCGUAGGCGGACGCUUAAGUCAGCGGUAAAAUUGCGGGGCUCAACCUCGUCGAGCCGUUGAAACUGGGUGUCUUGAGUGGGCGAGAAGUACGCGGAAUGCGUGGUGUAGCGGUGAAAUGCAUAGAUAUCACGCAGAACUCCGAUUGCGAAGGCAGCGUACCGGCGCCCAACUGACGCUGAAGCACGAAGGCGUGGGUAUCGUACAGG